ACAAAAAGGACCCGCAUGGUUUCAAAACCGUGCGGGUCAAUUCGUAUCUGAGGAACCUCAGAUACCUAUAUGGGAGAGGAGAAACCGGAGGAAGAGCUUAUGGGGAAAAGUAAGUCUUCUCCGCGG
rfam:Novibacillus thermophilus strain SG-1, complete genome.